rnacentral:rRNA from 1 species
GACGUAGGGCGCGAGCGUUGUCCGGAUUAUUGGGCGUAAAGAGCUCGUAGGCGGUUGUCGCGUCUGCCGUGAAAGUCCGGGGCUCAACUCCGGAUCUGCGGUGGGUACGGGCAGACUAGAGUGAUGUAGGGGAGACUGGAAUUCCUGGUGCAGCGGUGAAAUGCGCAGAUAUCAGGAGGAACACCGAUGGCGAAGGCAGGUCUCUGGGCAUUAACUGACGCUGAGGAGCGAAAGCAUGGGGAGCGAACAGG